GAUGAACGCUGGCGGCGUGCCUAACACAUGCAAGUCGAGCGAAGAGCGGACGGGUGAGAAACACGUGUAUAACCUCCCAUAAGACUGGGGUAACUUCCGGAAACCGGUGCUAAACCGGAAUAUUUUAGCAGGAUCCGCUCUGCAUUAGCUAGUUGGUAAGGUAACGGCUUACCAAGGCAACGAUUCAUAGCCGACCUGAGAGGGUGAUCGGCCACACUGGAACUGAGACACGGGCCAGACUCCUACGGGAGGCAGCAGUAGGGAAUAUUCCGCAAUGGGCGAAAGCCUGAUGGAGCAACGCCGCGUGAGUGAUGAAGGUCUUCGGAUCGUAAAGCUCUGUUAUUAGGGAAGCGGUACCUAAUCAGAAAGCCACGGCUAACUCCGUGCCAGCAGCCGCGGUAAUAC
rnacentral:rRNA from 1 species